rnacentral:tRNA from 1 species
AGAAAGUAGUAUAAUGGAAGUACAAGGGGUUUUGAGCCCCUGGGUACAGGUUCAGGUCCUGUGUUUCUA